CAAGGAAUAUUGUGCAAUGGGCGAAAGCCUGACACAGCGACGCCGCGUGGGGGAUGAAGGCUUUCGGGUUGUAAACCCCUUUUCUCAGGGAAGAACAAUGACGGUACCUGGGGAAUAAGUCUCGGCUAACUACGUGCCAGCAGCCGCGGUAAUACGUAGGAGGCGAGCGUUAUCCGGAUUUACUGGGCGUAAAGAGGGCGUAGGCGGUCCUUCAAGUCGGAUGUUAAAUCUCCCGGCUCAACUGGGAUGGACCAUUCGAUACUGCUGGGCUGGAGGAUAGCAGAGGGAGGUGGAAUUCCCGGUGUAGUGGUGAUAUGCGUAGAUAUCGGGAGGAACACCAGUGGCGAAGGCGGCUUCCUGGGCUAUUUCUGACGCUGAGGCCCAAAAGCGUGGGGAGCGAACAGGAUUAGAUACCCUGGUAGUCCACGCUGUAAACGAUGGACACUAGGUAUAGGGAGUAUCGACCCUUUCUGUGCCGAA
rnacentral:rRNA from 1 species